GACGCUGGCGGCGUGGAUAAGACAUGCAAGUCGAGCGAUGAUCCAACGAUAGCAAUAUUGGAGGGGAUUAGCGGCGAACGGGUGAGUAACACGUAGGAAUCUGCCCUGAAGUUCGGAAUAGCCCGGUGAGAGUCGGGAUAAUACCGGAUGUGAUCUUCGGAUUAAAGGCUUCGGCCGCUUCAGGAUGAGCCUGCGCUCCAUCAGCUUGUUGGUAGGGUAAAAGCCUACCAAGGCGAGGACGGAUAGCUGGUCUGAGAGGACGGCCAGCCACAAUGGAACUGAGACACGGUCCAUACACCUACGGGUGGCAGCAGUCGAGAAUCAUUCACAAUGGGCGAAAGCCUGAUGGUGCGACGCCGCGUGGGGGAUGAAGGCCUUCGGGUCGUAAACCCCUGUCGGUUGCGAGUAAGGCUCUACUUACGUAGGGAUUGAUAUUAGCAACAAAGGAAGGGGCGGCUAACUCCGUGCCAGCAGCCGCGGUAAUACGGAGGCCCCAAGCGUUGUUCGGAUUUACUGGGCGUAAAGCGUGCGUAGGCGGCGAGGUAAGUUUGGCGUGAAAGCCCCGGGCCCAACCCGGGAAAUGCGCUGAAAACUGCUUCACUAGAGGUGUGGAGGGGAGUCUGGAAUUCCUGGUGUAGCAGUGAAAUGCGUAGAUAUCAGGAGGAACAUCAGUGGCGAAGGCGAGACUCUGGAAACAUUCUGACGCUGAGGUACGAAGGCUAGGGUAGCGAAGAGGAUUAGAUACCCUCGUAGUCCUAGCAGUAAACGGUGUGCACUUGCUGUGGGGGGAUUCGACCCCUUCCGUGGCGAAGCUAACGCAUUAAGUGCACCGCCUGGGGAGUACGGCCGCAGGUAACUAAUGAUACG
rnacentral:rRNA from 1 species